UGGGGAAUUUUGGACAAUGGGCGAAGCCUGAUCCAGCAAUGCCGCGUGUGUGAAGAAGGCCUUCGGGUUGUAAAGCACUUUUGUCCGGAAAGAAAUCCUUGGCUCUAAUACAGUCGGGGGGAUGACGGUACCGGAAGAAUAAGCACCGGCUAACUACGUGCCAGCAGCCGCGGUAAUACGUAGGGUGCAAGCGUUAAUCGGAAUUACUGGGCGUAAAGCGUGCGCAGGCGGUUUGCUAAGACCGAUGUGAAAUCCCCGGGCUCAACCUGGGAACUGCAUUGGUGACUGGCAGGCUAGAGUAUGGCAGAGGGGGGUAGAAUUCCACGUGUAGCAGUGAAAUGCGUAGAGAUGUGGAGGAAUACCGAUGGCGAAGGCAGCCCCUGUCAGGUCCAAUCUGACGCUCAUGCACGAAAGCGUGGGGAGCAAACAGGAUUAGAUACCCUGGUAGUCCACGCCCUAAACGAUGUCAACUAGUUGUUGGGGAUUCAUUUCCUUAGUAACGUAGCUAACGCGUGAAGUUGACCGCCUGGGGAGUACGGUCGCAAGAUUAAAACUCAAAGGAAUU
rnacentral:rRNA from 1 species